CCUACUUGCCCAAAGACAGCUGGGAUAGGCUCCAGCACCCCCUGCAACCCUAGUGAGGAUCAAGCGGCUCGGAAGAUGAAUGAAUAACACAGGGCGGCCCGGUAAUUGAGUGGUGAGCACGUCGACUUCACGGUGCAGAGGUUCACUUCCAUCUCCUGCCUUCCUCUGUGGAGUUUGCAUGUUCUCCCCGGGCCUGCAUGGGUUUUCUCCAGGUACUCCGGUUUCCCUCCACAUUCCAAAAAACAUGCAUGGUAGGCUGAUUGAACACUCUAAAUUGUCCCUAGGCGUGAGUGUGAACGCGGAUGGUUGUUCGUCUCUGUGUGCCCUGCGAUUGGCUGGCAACCGGUUCAGGGUGUCCCCCGCCUACUGCCCGAAGACGGCUGGGAUAGGCUCCAGCACCCCCCGCGACCCUGGUGAGGAUUAAGCGGUUCGGAAAA